rnacentral:rRNA from 1 species
CCUACGGGAGACAGCAGUGGGGAAUAUUGGACAAUGGGGGAAACCCUGAUCCAGCGACGCCGCGUGAGUGAAGAAGUAUUUCGGUACGUAAAGCUCUAUCAGCAGGAAAGAAAAUGACGGUACCUGACUAAGAAGCCCCGGCUAACUACGUGCCAGCAGCCGCGGUAAUACGUAGGGGGCAAGCGUUAUCCGGAUUUACUGGGUGGAAAGGGAGCGUAGACGGCAGCGCAGGAAUGGAGUGAAAUGCCGGGGCCCAACCCCGGAACUGCUCUGGAAACUGUGAAGCUGGAGUGCAGGAGAGGUAAGCGGAAUUCCUGGUGUAGCGGUGAAAUGCGUAGAUAUCAGGAGGAACACCGGCGGCGAAGGCGGCUUACUGGACUGUAACUGACGUUGAGGCUCGAAGGCGUGGGGAGCAAACAGGAUUAGAUACCCUGGUAGUC